AGGGGUUUUGCAGGCGGUACUACUCCUGGUAUACUUCAUGGCGAUAGCAAAAAGCUUUAACUAGUCUUUAACUUUUCGAAAUAGCAUAGGAAAAUAACAAUAGCCGAGGGAUUGAUCAUGAAGUUGGGUUAAAAGAUUGGGAUGACUGAUAACAUGCUGUUUUCGAAAGAUGGACCUUGGCAUUCUGAAUAACUUAAGGAUGGAUAAUAUCAGUUACUGUUAACCAGUUUUAUGCCCUUGGUACUUUACCAGAACAGCUGAAGGCUAUUGAAGUAAAAGAAUUUCAUGGAAUGAUAGCUUCAGGGAGUAAGCUUAUGAAUAAUUCCAUCAAAACAUAUUGACGGCAACAUUAGGUUUUCUGUACACGAUUUAUAAAAGCUAUUUGACUCCAUUUUCAGGUCAAAUGUUUCGGGUGAUAUUAAGAAGUCUUCGGAGAAACAGAAUUGGUUUUGUUAACUAGAAGGAAGUUGUGAUCGGGAUCCAAGAGUGAUAGAACUCCACCCACGAGAUGUAGUGAACCAGUGACUAGUACAUCUAGCUGCAGAACAUAUAAGAAAAUACAAAAUACCAAAAUACAA